rnacentral:rRNA from 1 species
UACGUAGGGUGCAAGCGUUAUCCGGAAUUAUUGGGCGUAAAGAGCUCGUAGGCGGUUUGUCGCGUCUGCUGUGAAAACUGGAGGCUCAACCUCCAGCCUGCAGUGGGUACGGGCAGACUAGAGUGCGGUAGGGGAGAUUGGAAUUCCUGGAGUAGCGGUGGAAUGCGCAGAUAUCAGGAGGAACACCAAUAGCGAAGGCAGCUCGCUGGGACGGUACUGACGCUAAGGCGCGAAAGCGUGGGGAGCGAACAGG